AUUGAACGCUGGCGGCAGGCCUAACACAUGCAAGUCGAGCGGAUGAAGGGAGCUGGCUCCUGGAGUCAGCGGAGGACGGGUGAGUAAUGCCUAGGAAUCUGCCUGGUAGUGGGGGAUAACGUCCGGAAACGGGCGCUAAUACCGCAUACGUCCUGAGGGAGAAAGUGGGGGAUCUUCGGACCUCACGCUAUCAGAUGAGCCUAGGUCGGAUUAGCUAGUUGGUGGGGUAAAGGCCUACCAAGGCGACGAUCCGUAACUGGUCUGAGAGGAUGAUCAGUCACACUGGAACUGAGACACGGUCCAGACUCCUACGGGAGGCAGCAGUGGGGAAUAUUGGACAAUGGGCGAAAGCCUGAUCCAGCCAUGCCGCGUGUGUGAAGAAGGUCUUCGGAUUGUAAAGCACUUUAAGUUGGGAGGAAGGGCAGUAAGUUAAUACCUUGCUGUUUUGACGUUACCAACAGAAUAAGCACCGGCUAACUUCGUG
rnacentral:rRNA from 1 species